GUCACAAAGUGAGCACAGUAGGUUGGUAAUUAAUCUUUAGUUCCCAGGAAGAGAUGCUUAUCCUUAAAGAAGUGCUGAUAUGUGGGGGGAGCCACAUCCCUAUCUUUAAGGGCAUCACUCUUGUCUUUGGGACACUAAAUGUUUAAAGCAGAUGUAUAAUGCAUGCUCAACAGGCCACUUCAGGCCCUUUUGGAAAAAUAAGGUCAGGCCGAAUUAGUUUUACACUAAUGGCUUCCUCAUGUACUCCAAUACAUCCUAUUGUUUUUCAUUUAUUUAUCAUUAUGCAGUAUAUGCUCCUGGCUCAGGUAGGAAACCUAAUCAGUUGGCUCAUUUGGCCUAAUCAGGGCUCAGCUAAAAUGCAAGGCUGGUACUAAAGAGGAGCGACAUACAAUAAUCCUUAAUCCUCACCAACUAUGGGCACUGUUGUCUGAAAAACACGGAGGCUGAAAACCCUUAGUUGGCAAGAAGAAUGAAGGUCUUACUGAAAAUGACGUUUUUGAGGAAAAAUAAUUGAAAUCAUGCUAAAAAUUAAAACACAGUAAAGAAGACUUUCUAGAAAAAAAUCUCUACAUUCAAAAUAAACUAGUUCUGUUCAGGUUAAAGAUUUAAUCUCAGAGGCGGUCCUCCUCCCGUUGUUCAGGAGGAGUUGGAGCGGCUUCAUGAGCCGCUGCGGUAGAUUUCCAGUUUUGUGACAGCCCAACUCUAUCCCAUUUUAUACUGUUUGAACCUACCAUUACCAACUUGAAUUGCACUUUUGGUCUUACUUGCUUUAUUUUUGCAUGUCUUGACAAAAACGUGUUGGUAAUCACCUAGUCUUUUCAUGAAUUAUUGAGGAACUUACAAACCUGUUUUGUGGUGGUUACAAGGCCGCCUGCCCUUAAAUGGAAAUAUUAUCUCUCUGCAAUAUUUCGUAGGUUAGGCCAUAUGACCUGGGCAAAGAGAGAGAGUAGCAAGAAAUAAUUUCUAUUAUGUUCUCUUGCUUAAGAGGACUAAAUAAAAUCUCAAGGAUUAAAAACAAUGUCAUGACUUUGAACAUUUCGACCUACAAUUAUGAACCAGUACUAAGGCUAAUCCUUAAAUUGGCAAGAGAUGAUGAGAGCUUUUUACUACAGGUCACGCUUGAAUUAAGUAGAUAUCUCUCUCCUCCCAUGUCUUUCUCUCCACCUCCCAUUGACCCCUCCCAAACAUUUUCGGGGGAUGCUGAGCCAAAACCAUGGUUGUAUGGAGUGAGGCAAAUAGCGGGAGCAUCUCCUACCACAGUUGCAGAAGGGAGGAGUUUGGGGAUGUGCAAGUUGGGAUCUGUGGAUAAUUCAACUGGAGAAAAGGUCUAAAUGGGUUGUCAAAACAAGGAGGGCCUGACGCUUGUUGGGGAAUCAGAUAAGAGAGUCAAGGUGUGAAAGAGAGAGACUGAGUAAAAGCAGUGGUAGGAAGGAUGAUGUGGAGGGGCUUCUUUGGGUGACUGUCAGAGAUAGGGAAGAGUGGAGCAUGGCUGCGCUUUUCCCUGUCCCUUGUGGUGGGUUAUUUGAUGGUUGGAGCCAUAUUAAGGUCUGGGGUUGAAGCCAACCAACCAUCUUCUUCUCUUCGCUCCUUUCGGCCCCUUACUUGUACAUCCUCACUUCUCCUGAGCCUUCCCUUCCCACAUGAUUUCCUGUCUCUGCUAGAACUUUGAUCUGAUUUAGAUUUUCUGGUAUAUCUGAUAGUCUUACUGUGCCAGGGCCCAGUAUCAGUGCCUCGUGUGCAGGAGGGAUGCAGGUGGGCAUGGGAUGGGGGAGAGGGAAAAUGUCACCCAUAGCUAAGGCUCAUUUCUAAAGGAGCUUUCUGCAUCCUUGAGGCCCACGCUGAACAUCCCCAAACCCCUGAGGUUUCUAAACAUUCCUGUUGGUAAUAUUCCUCCAGAGAUGUAGUGUGAUGUGGAAGACAGAGCACUGGACUCAAGUCCAGGUCUCCAGCUUCCAGUCCAAAGUUCUGUCCACAACACUGUACUUGAAAUCUUGACCAGGCACAUAAAACAGAAGGUGCAGAGUCUCUUUCUUUAAGUAGCAUGCAACAUAGUAAAGAGGAUGGCACUAACAUCCAGUGCAAUGAGAGAACAAUGCAAAAAUGAUGAAGAACUUGCAAGGUGACUUGAGUGUGGUCUGGCGUAUAGAUGCUGGGGAAAUCUGGAGGAUUAGAGCAGGAGGGUGCUGGGGGAGCUCAUCUUUGGAGCCAGGACCCAGACUCCAGGAGAAAGUUCCACAUGCACAUUAUGAUGAGGAGGAUAAAAUAAUCACUAUAAUGAUAAUAAGCCAACUACUAUUUUGAGUGCCUAUUAUAUGCCAGGAUAUUAUACUAGGUGCUUCAUUUUGGAUUAGUUUCUAUUUAUCCUUGUACAUAUCCACAAUGUAGAAAGUGUUAGCUGUAUUUUAUAGAUGGAGACCUUGAAACUCAGAUUAAGAUUCUGACCAAUGUCACAUAGCUAGUACUGGAUAGAGCAGGGGACAUGUCCCACAUCUGCCUGCUGAUACUCCUGGUGAUUUGGCUGUUAUACUGCAGUGUCUGAAAUCAGCAAUGAAAUCUUAGUCCAAACUCUUUUACUGAAUAAAGUGAAAGCAAGUCAGUCUUUCAAGAGGGCCAUCACUCUGAAUUUCAAGUUAUUUCCCUUGCUUCUUCAGUUCAUUUAUAAAAGACAUGGCCGCAAGCAUCCUCCCAAUAGGAUGCUUAACCAGAGAGUAAACUGAAGACAGGAGACUCUGGAAUUUCUUUAUGUGCCUUAUUUCCAACUCCCUUACUGGGCUCAAGAUAACCUAUUAAGCCAUGUGGUCAAAAUAAAUUGACAGAAAUAUUUAUUAUUUCAAUUUACAUUCUAAAUCUUUCAUCUCUCUUAUUGAUUUUAUUUAAGAAUCUAAGUUUAAUUACUAAGUGACAUACUAGUUAUUAAUUCCAUUUGUUUUUGUAAAAGAAAGCACUGUAAUUGGAAUAUAAACCUCGCAUGCUCCGUGGUUGGCUGCCUUCAUUUCAGCUGUGUAGGAUUGGUCUGCUCCAGAGGUAGCAUCUUCUCCUGGCAGCAGGGACACCUCCACUCUGAGCCAGCCUUGGGGUAUCACCCCCUCUGGCCUUGUUCAGUUUGUUGUGACAAGAGAAGGCUUUUUGUGAUGCUGCUUUUGAAGACAUCACCAAACUAUGAAAGCCAUGGAGAUGGUGUGUACACUGUGUGCAUCCAUGAGGAAUGAGGGGAAUGGUAUGUGAUCUAAGUAAGAGUGAGUGUGUGUGUGUGUGUGUGUUUGAUAGAGAGAGGAUAAAAACCAGCAUUACUGAGCACCAGCUUUCUGCCAGGCACUGCUAGGUGCUUUACUAAAUCACACAUCAUCCUCACAAUGUUGAAAGGUAUGUGAUACCAUCACCAUGUAAUAGAGGGGAAAACUGAAACUGAAAGGAAAGAGACUUACCGAAGGCUGCAGAGAAAUCCAGCUGACACCCAAGCAUGACCACCUUCCUCUACAGCUUGCUCAGAUAUUUACGGAGAGCCUAACCUUGUGCUAGUGGAGUCAGGAGGGGCAUAAGUCUGCAAAGUGGGGAGACGACAGAGCAAGACUUUGUUCACAAUCAUGGAACAUCUACACUGAGAAAAAGGGCCCAAGCUCCCUGUUUACCAGUUAGGAGUCAAAGCCAAAGGCUUAACUGAAGUAGUUUUUGCUAAAAGAACACAACUUUUAUAUUCCAAAGAGUCAAAACGUGAUUUUAUUCAGCAUGUAAUUCUAAGAAGUGUGACCAUUUAGAAGUCCUACUGGCAGUAAUAUAAAAUAAAGCAAGGGGAGAUGACACUGGAGAGUAGGUGAUCUGACUAUGAAGACAAAAAUAAAGUCUACAGUUGAUAUAAAUCUAAGCUACCUCACACCACGAGAACAUAUAUUCAAACAGUAAACAUGAGGCAUCAAGAGAAGAUCAGUUUAUGUUAAGAAACAUGUCUUUAGAAGAUCAGGAAUUGUUAUUACACAGUAAAAAUAUUUCCAUCCAAAAUGGGAAUAUGUGGUUACAAAGAGAGUUAUAGACGUGAAUAUAAUAUACCUGAAGUUUGAAGCUUCAGGUCAGAGCAGUAGGUAGAGUGGAAACGCCCAUCCCCUUGAAUUUAGAAGAAAUUUGCUGGAGUCCAGGCUUUCCCCUUGCUGGCCAUAUAUUCUUGCACUUUACCAAUCUGUUCUGUGGUUUUUCCCUUUAUACAAUGAAAAAGACAACCCUAACCCAUCUUAUCUCCAAGAUGGCUACCGAUGUGUUUGAUAAAUUCUGAUAAUCAUGGUCAUGGUCACCAUCAAGAAACUCUCCUUAUUUCCUGGCAAUGCAGGCUUUAAAAAGUAGCACUUGGAUGUGACUGGUAAUCCCAUUAUAGAUUUCUUCUUCUCACUGUUUCCAGAGUCCUCUCAACCCCAGGCAAAGAGAAUUUUGCAUUUUGGCUUUUACAAGGGAUGUGGCUAUGAACAUUUUGUGCACACGUUCUUGCAUUUCUUGAAUACAUUUGCCCAGCAAUGAAAUUGUUGAUAGAAAGGAUUUGUACAUCUUUGGGCCUGAUAAAGUGAAACAGCUAUUCUACCAGAGACAUGGGUUCGUUCAGAUGACUUGUGGGGUCACUACCAUAAUCUAAUGAGGUUGUCCUAUUGUGGCUUAUGUGUAAAUCCAUUUCCCUGUAAGUCUUCCCUGGAGGAGUCAUUCCCAGGACGAGAGUUCUUAAGAUAGGAAAUUGGACUGGAUAGGAAGGCCUUAGAUGAAGAAUAACACCUGCCUCUUUCCAGUCCUCCUUCUCAAGUUAUAGCACCUGGACAAUCUGAGACGACAGUUUCCAAUCAGGGGUGGGAAGGUUCUGAUCCUGGCUCUUUGUCACUAGCUUGCAUUCAGCUACCUUCUCACUGUGAUCAGGACUGUCUCCCCUGUUGGACCAAGAAAGUCCAAUGAGAGGUUUUGGAGACCGUAUUUGUCUUGGAUCCAAAUUUUAUUUCCAUAUAAGGCCCUCACUUGUCUGCUUCUUCUCCCACAUACUCUAGCUUGGCAUAACAUUUGAUUCUUCCAACUCUGCUGACUCCACGUUACCAGAUGUACAAUUCAUGGUGGAAGAGAGCCUCCCUUCCUUAGGAAAGUUAAAUGUUCCUUCUCACUCAGCUCCAGACUCAUCAGUUGAAGACUUCUCUAUUUCCUGUAAGACCAAACAGGAGGCUUCAGCACAUAGCCAAUACUUCUCUGAAUUUUUGUAUCACCUCCUCUAAAGCUAUAUCUUUGAGGGUACAUGAUCAUCUCUGCAAAGUCAGUAUAAGUUAGUUGGUUUCACUAAAGUUUUUCAAAUGUAGGACCGAGAUCUGUAACUUCUCAGCCUGACCUAGGAGAGUCUUAUCGCUAUUUUUUACUGACUCCAACAGUUGAGCCAAUUCCCCAUUUUAGGGUCUAUUUUAAGAACUCCCACUUCUUGCUGCCUAAUUCUAUAUCAGUUAGGAUUCUUGAAGAGAAUGAGUCUCCUCCGUUCUUCGCCCAGCAAAUACAACACCUCCUUUUUAUUUUAAAUAGCUUGUAAUAUCCCCUUUACUAUUCUGCAAUUGAAUUCAUAGUUUAAUCCACUGAUCAUAUAAUUACGAAAAUAUAUCAUGCCCUAACAGCAGUGUAGUGGAGACAUAAAAAGAAGGUAAUUUACAAUAGAAAGAUACAUACAUAUUGAUAUGUAAAUGUCAUCUCACAAUUACACUGGUACCCAUGAAGAUGUUUUCGGGAGUUUGGACCGGGAGAUAGAAUUACCAUGAGUAUGACAGCUAUAAAUGCAGACUAAUAAAGGAGUAUUGUGUUGACAACUCAAGCCCCAUUGGUGCCAUUGCCAUUGGUGACAUGAUUUUCUGAAAAGGUGAACAAAUCUUGGAAGACUUUCAAACGAAAGUACAAUCUUCCCUUGAUUUAAACAAUGGAAAAUUUGGUGUGUAUUAAAACUAUACACAAAGUAAAAAUACUUUGUAUGUAUGUGAAAUGGAGUUAAGCUCUAGGCUCAGAUAAUAAUAAAUAGGUUUAUCACCUACCUGGAAUCCCAGUGGGUCACUAAGAAAUUGUGCUGGAUGAAGGAAGAAUUUUUGUCAUGCAAGCUUAUCCCAUAAAUUCUAACUUCCUUGAUCUCCAUACAUUAAAUGCCAGGCUCACCUCCCAAUUACUGUGAUAAUAAAGACAUCCUUACAAUUUUCCAAAAUGGCCACCCAUUGAUGAACAGCUUUAGGUCAACUAAAAAAAAAUUAGAGGGGAUUGCUGUGAUUGUCUUUCAGUCCCUCUGUCUGCAAGAGUUUCAACCUAAAUCUAGCAGCAAGAUGGCUGCAGUACUUCUGGGAUUCUCAUCUGUACAAAACCUCAUCCAGAGGAAGAGAAACACCACAUGUUCUGGUGGCUCUUUAUAGAAAAGAAACUAUUUUUGCGGAAGUACCUGGAAAUAUCCCUUAGGUCUCAUCAGACCAAGUUGUAGUCUUAGAAUUCCUGAACCAAUCAAUAGAAUUACUCUAACCAAUCAGACUCACUCCUGGAACUGGGAGUGAGGUCAGCUUUCCUUAAAGCACAGAUGUGGAUGGAAAUGUGUGGAUAUCUGAAUAAAAGUCAGGAAUGAAGGGAGAAAUGGAUUCUGGGUAGGCAACCAAAAUGUUCCCUGCAUAUUUGCAGAGUUGAGGAUUGAUUUUAUUCAGGGAGAUUCCAGGUUUGUUGGUGCCUUGAAAGACCACCUGGGCCGGAGGUUACAUAUAUGUGUGUGCAAUGGAUUCCAAAGGCAUAGUUGGAGUAGCUGAGAAUGGGAGGUGGGAGCCCAGGAAAGGAGGAGGCGGGCGCCACAAGUCUGGACGAGCUGCCUUGUAAAAGGAUCAAAGCUCUUUGAGAUCCCUCUGCCAAAGCUCUUGCAGCGUGUGACAGGAACCCAGGUGAAAGAUGGGUGUGAGUGGAACUGAAAGAGACCCCUUGAUGAUUUCCUGAGGAAAUUCACCUGUUUGGCAAUGACUUUGCUCCGCAAGUUUUCCUCCUGCAUCCACAUGUCCUCAUCAACUCCAAACUCAAAGGAAAGCAUGAUGGUUGUGAAACUGAAAAGCAACUUUCAGCGUAUGCAGAUUUGGAACUCAUAAUGCCACCAGCCUGAAACUACUGUUAAUAUUUUGAGCAUUACGGCCUUUUCUCUUAGAUGUCUGGCAUCUUUUCUCAUUUCCUUGGCAAUCACCUGUCUUCCCUCUGACCUUCAGCCCCAUCAGCUGGAACCACCUCUUCAUUUCCCUGAACUCUGGACCCUUCCUGGCUCUCCUGAGAUCCCACUUCAGCAUGAGAAUGGUGUGAAAAUGCAGUUGCUGCAGCACUAGAGAUCCGAUUCUUGGGCAUUUGUCUGAUUUUGAAUUUGGGGUGGGAAUUUUCUGGCUCACACUCAGAAAUCUCUAUAAUACUUUGUAGUAAUGGAAAAAGUAUGCAUUGGCACAGGCAUUUAUAAUUUAUGCCAACUUCUUGUACACUUUUUCCCAUGCGAGGGUAAAUCUCAUUGGAUUUAGACCCAAUGAAAUUGGAAACAACAGUAUCUUAUAAUUACUCAGAGGAGUUUCAAGGCUUAAGUAGGUGGUAGAGAAGGGAAAAUCUUCACUUCCCAUAGUGAUAAAGAUGUAAUUUCUUACCAAGCGUAGGAGGUAGGUCUCCAGGGCUUAGAAAAAGCCCAGGAGGGAUGCACAGGGAUCAAAGGACCCAGCCAGUAUCUCAGCUUUACAGAGAGAGAGGGAGUGGUCCUUCUCACCUAUCACAGAAUAGGCAUUUAAUGAAUAUUAAUGGAUUGAACAAAUGAACAUACAAACUGAACAAAUGGCACAAAAAGGUGAAGCAUGGAUUAAAAAACAUUACUCAAAGUUUCAAUUAGAAGUAUGCUUAAUAAAAACUAUCAAGUGCUCUGGCAGCCACAGUUCAUACCAUGAUACCAUGUUUCAAUAUCAAAGAGAUGUCCAUGCUAAGUAAAUUACUCGGUAGUCCUACUCGGCUCCGUGUUCAUCAAGAAGCUUAGGUAUCAUGGUUGACAUGUUGUGGAUGACGUAUUCUAAGUGGUCCAAGACGUAAACCCUAAGACCACGUUGGUGGAAGUUACAGUCAAACAGACAUCAGCUUGAUAUAAAGAAUUGCAUAUGGAAUCUCAACCGUCAAAGGGGUAGACUAUGCUAGUUAUGUAAUCGCCUCUUAGUUCCAAGUUGCCUCUUUUUCCCUGCUCUUUGAAAAUGGAGCUGGUCUCUUAAGCAUUUUUUUUGAAACUGAUAAAGGAAAUGGAUAGUAAGCUUUGUCAUUAGAGAACAGUGGAGAGACGUUGAGGAGGAAAGUCUUUGCUUUCUGGUUCCAGUGUCCUUGCUCGGCAGGCUCCUUCCACAGGCCUGAACUCCGGCAGUGUGGUGGCUUCCACAGCCUCAGGCUUUUGCAGAAUGCACAGCUUCUGUAGUGCAUGGAGGCCAGCAGUGCCUAGUGGGUGGAAUCCCGCAGCGCUCCCAGCCUCAGGUCAUUUUAUAGAGGUAUAUUUAUACCUCUAGUGAAACACCUCCUCAUGAACAGCUUUCCCUGGCACCAUAGGGGACAGAUUUCCAGCAAAUUCCACUGGUAUGGCACAAAGCAACUUCUCUUCCAUCCUGUGAGCUGUGGCCUCUCCAGUAAUAUCUGGACCUGAGCUCUGGGGAACCUUUUCCUUAGCUGUCCUAUCUUGGUCCUAGACAUAGUGGCUGUUCCCUAUAUCUGCUAUUCUUAUAUUCUUUAGUGUUUUCUUUACUUCUUAAUAGCUAAUCUCCCAUUGCUACAAUCCCCUUUUAUAGUUAAUAAUUCCUUAUAUUAGACUUUCCCUGUUCAAAUUACUCUGUGGUUUUAGUUUACUGAUUGGACUCUGACUGAUACGCCCAGCAAGUGCAUGGGAUCUUGAGAAAUGGGUAGAAUUUAGGCAAGCAUAGAGGCAGGAGAAUGAAUAUUCUAGGCAGAAUGAAAGUAUUAAGGUUCAUAUUUUCCAGGUUUAUAUUUCUGUAUAAGAAUGAAAGACUAGCAAUAAAUACACUUAAUCUGAUUAUACAUUCAUUGAGGCAAAGACUAUGUCUGAUUCUUCCACAAGGCCUAUAAUCUUGUAAUGUUCGAUGAGAGAACAAAACCUUCUGGAUAUUGACUGGUCAAUCCGUUUGACUAUAACUAUAACUGAGACCUGGGAAGAAAGACCAGUCCUCAUUGCUUUGCAAUGCUUUGCAAAUAAUAGUAAUAUUAAUAAAAAAUAACAGUAAUAUUAGAAAAAUAUUGAAUAAUACUAUGUACCAGGCUUUCUACAUAUGAGCUCAUAAGUAACGACCCUCGAACCUUUAUAAGAUAAAUAUUAUUAUAUCUGAAGCACAGAGAAGUUACAUAACUUGUUUGGAUUCACAUAACUAUUAAGUGGCCAAGCCAGGAUUUAAGCCAAAGCAGAGUGGCUCCAGAUCCCCAGCCUCUGAUCACAGCACACUACUACUGCCCAAAUAUGGUUAGAGUUGUGAUUAUACACCACAACAAUACACACCUUUCUCUUCAAUAUUCUAGGGGAACAAAAGAUGGGAGUCUUUAUACAUUAAAGAAGGGAACCUUUGCUUUGUAAAUCAAGAUGCCUUCCACUGAAAGUAAGGCAAAGGAAGGAUUUCUGAACUCUCCUGUUUCAAAUAUUGAGUAUUAAAAUGUUCUGUAUAUUAAUUGAUACACUUUCCUGUGAGUUGUCGUACGUUUCUGGGAUUCUAUUCUCCUGGGUAUUUACCUUUUUAUCCCCAUCCUUAAGGAGUUGUGGUUUUGAAUGCUUGAGUUCUAAUACAGAGAUUCAGAGAGGAGUAGACGAGCUCUUCUUUGGAGCAAAGGUUCUUUCUGGAUCCCUGAAAUACCUCUCCUCAUUGCAUUCAAGACUUGCUCUGGUUUCCCUUCCACAUGGGGAAGUAAUUGGAGACCCAUGCUGGCCCAUGCCCAAGUUUUCUUACUCUAUAUGAUGUGCUUUUAUCCUGGAGAUUUUGGAGUCUAAGGCUUCUAUCCCAUGUGGCUCUCAGUGCCCCACAGGACCCCAGUAUGGCUAAUAACACUUUUGAAUUGCUUUGCCCUAUCAAAUCCUGCAUGUAUUAUUUCUUCCACCUAGAAUAUUUCUUUUUCCCUUUCCUCUCAUCCUGCAAGACUCUACUCAAAUACGAUGCCUUUUGAGAGGCCCUUCCCAGCCCCUCAGAAGAAUUAGCAUUAUCUGCUGUGCUCCACGAACACAUGGCUACCAUCUCUCUGUUAGGCCUUGUUAUGUUACCCAAGGACUGGCACAUGCCUGCCUCCCCUCCAGACUGUGAGCUCUUGGAAGGCAGAAAGCUAUCGCAUAUCCACAAACGUUUUCCCAUGACCUGAUGUAAUCACUAGGACUUAGUAGGUGCUCUAUAAACAUUUGUUGCUUAAAUAAAUACAUGAAUAAGUGAAUGGAUUGGGGCCAUACAGGAUUUGUGGACUUGGGAAAAUCAUGUCAUCUUCUUUAACCUUAGUUUAAUCAUCUUUAAAAUGAGUCAAUGUGAUGAAAUGAUGUCAAAAGUUCCUUCAAAUUCUGGCAUCCAAUGGGUGUGAAACUUAGUAACGAUUUUUCUAUGUUGCCCUGAGGUUGACUAGGAAACUUUUAGAAAUCCAGAGCAUCUUUGUUAUUCCAAAUAUCUUAAACAACCUCAACUCCAGAGAUCUCAAGUGGAGGAGUUCUGUUCAUCUCCACUCAGAAGACUCAUGGGCUCAAGUGCUAAUAAAACUCCUUUGCUUAUGGGCAAAAGAGUUGACUGUACAGUGUAGGAGAAAAGUCACAUCGACUAUUUAAACAUCUUUUGGGGUAUCAGCCUCAUCAGCCACAGUUCUAGAAGUCCUGACACUAACCUGUCAAUCCGAGAGCAGGGAUGCAAGUGGCUUCCUUGAUACCAUUAUAAACACUUAUAUCAUCUUCUUCACUCUCAUUGAGGAGCUUGGACAGACCAGCUGCCUCUCUUGCUGCCCUUAUUUAAGAAGUUGGUGUAGAAAGUUUUAGUCUACAGAAUUCAACUAAAGCCCCCUCUUUUUUGUCAGAGAAGGAAUAUUCCUCCUAAGAGCUGUAGAUUUGAGAUAUUUGCACACAAGGCCAAAUUACAAUGGUGUGAGGAAUACAAUUGGAAGGGAGGCUGCAUUCCCAGAGGGACUACUCUAUGUCAUCAUGCCUAGAGCAGUCCAGACCCCCGUAUAAGUCCUGGGACCUUGGGCACAAUUGAAAUAACGUCUCUGAAGAUUUUCUAUCUGUGAGAGAUCACCAUUUUGGUUCCUUCCUCAAUUUAGGAACUCUGUUACAUUAUUUUCAUUUUAACCUCAUCGAACUAUGAAAUCAUCCAUUUCUGGGAAGCACUGUCUUUCUUUGUGCUUGAUCAAGAAGUUAAACGUAUAGUUCAUGUUUCAACCCCAUUAUCCAGGAGGCGAUUCUUUGCUCUGGAAUUAGAGCCUGUGGUAACAGUUAGACUCUCCUUUCCUUUCCAGAUGCCAGGCAUUGCACAACUUCAAAUUAUUGGCUGACCAAUGCCAAGGGAGGCAACGCCCCCAUCUGGCCAGACAGAAGAAGCAAGAUGAAAAUAAUGAUAAAUUAGACUGUAUUCAUUGACUUCCCUUUAUAAAUGAGGAAAUAGACUCAGAGAGGUUAAGUAGCCAGCCCGCAGUUACAAAGCUAGUAAGUCUAAUUCUAAAGUCUGUCUUUGGGGGUGUGUGUGUGUGUUGGGGGAGUAUGGAUAAAACAGACCACUUUUAAAAACAGAAAAUCCUAGAUAUUUUAUGUUCAAAGAAGAAAUUUGAGGUUUCUUCAAAUAAGAAUUUCAAAGAAGAAAAUUGAGGUGAAACAUGAGAUGUUCAAAGUCAUAAACCAAGCUGGCGGUGGAGGCAGGAUUAGAACCCACAUCAGUUUAGUCUCAGCACAUCGGGCUGUGUAGAGGACCCCACUGAGGAAGGCAGGCACAGCUGGGGAAAGAAGACAUGGCAGAGAUGCAGUCACGCUUAUCCACUCUUUCACCAACUUAUCAAUACUUCAUCAAUGAGGAGCAUCAGGCCCAGAGAAGAUCAUAAUUUUAUGAUGAAUAAGCUGAAAUGAUGUGUAUCAUGUCAAAUAUCAGGGGCUCAAUAACUUAUUUUCCUCCUUCCUGGAACAGGGCUGUUCAACUUUUUAAUAUUAUUAUCAUUUACUAAACUAAUUCAUGCAUGUUGUAAAAAUUUUUAAAAGGCGCAGAAAGUUAAUAGAAGGAAACAACAGUUCUCUCCCCAAGUCCAUUCCCCAGGGUUGAUCAUUUUUAACCUUUUCUGAUUUCUGUCAUUCUUACAGUUAGUACCAUAAUUCUGAAUAUCGUGAUUAUAGUUCUUUCCAUUUAUUUAUCCACCUGGUUAUUUUAAAGGAUACACUUAAAUUUCUAUUUCUUAUUCUACCAACUGUUAGCAAAGUCUCUUUCCUCAUGUGACAGAGAAAAUUGUCACCCUCUACCCCCAUCCAUUUAACAUUUUCCAAGGUCCAAAAUGACUUUACAUGUCAAGGUUUACAAAAUAAUUACAUUCUGUUGCAAAGAUUAAGUCUUUCAUUUUUUAUCUAUAUGUUGAUUCUCUACAUGGAGACCAAUAAAAAGACUUUUAAAUAUUUGAUCAUAUUAAUAUUACUCACUAUAAGAUCAAAUGGCAUAUCUAGACCAAUACAGAAAGAAAAUAAAAUCUUUGGCCUUAAUACUGUGUGGUUAAAAGAGAUUUAAGCAAUAUAUUCAGAGCAAUUCUUUUUUCUUUUGCUUCAUUAAAUACCCCAAAUCAUUCCAUAUUUUAGUUUGCUUUUUGUUUGAUUCUUAAAUUUGCAGUAAGGGCUGGCCUGGUGGCACAGUGGUUAACUUCCCACGUUCCGCUUCGGCCGCCUGGGGUUCGCCGGUUCAGAUCUCAGGUGCGGACAUGGCAGAGCUUGGCAUGCCACGGUGUGGUAGGCGUCCCACAUAUAAAGUAGAGGAAGAUGGGCACGGAUGUGAGCUCAGAGCCAGUCUUCCUCAGCAAAAAGAGGAGGACUGGCGGCAGAUGUUAGCUCAAGGCUAACCUUCCUCAAAAAAAAAAAAAUUUGCAGUAUAUUUUUAAUUUCUCUUCGUGUUCCCAAUUGAUUUUUUUCUUGAUUAUCAAAGAAACAUAUGUCUUCUUUACAAUAUCUGGAACAAUAUCCAUAUUUUUAAUCCAUCAUAUUAAUUGUUUCCUGAUCCCAUGACUGCCUUCCUAACCUGCUGCCUUGCAGUCUGACUGGGAUGUUUUUCUUCAUUUACUCCUGGACUGGUUUCACUGUUUCUUGAAUCUCAUGUCUUCCUUUUUAGUUUUACUAUAAUGUACUCUCAGGCAUUUCACCUCCACAAAUAGUAAGUGAAAAGUGACUUUUUGAGCUCUUGCAUAAAUGAAAAUGACUUUACUCCACAAUAUUUAAGAACUUCUGCAUUUGCUAAUGUUGCUGAUGAGAAGUCUGUUGAUAACCUGCUAUCAUUUUUGGGGUUUAAUUUUUUCAGUUUUUUUGGUAGUCUCCUCUCUCUAGGUGUCUAAGCUUGUCUUUUAUUCUCCCCAUGCUGAACUUUCACAGGGACACAUGCAUCCAAGUGUGGAUCAUGUUUCAUCCAUUCUGCUUCUUGAUCUUUAGUGGUCCUUGCAACUUAAGGAUUGGUAGUUUUCCACUCUGGAAAUUUCUAUUUUAUUAUUUAUUUGAUAAUUUUCCUUUCAGUAUUUCUCUGUUCUUUUUUUGGGAACAUCUAGUAGUUGGAUUGUGAAUACCCUGAAUUGGUCUUCCUUAUUUUUAAAUUUUUCCCUUUCAUUUGCCUCC
rnacentral:lncRNA from 1 species